AAGAAAAAAUAUAAGGAGAGUAUAUUGGUUUCACCGUAGAGAUGAUAGGAAAAAUAGGAACAUAAAAUGUAGAAGAAAAAUACAAGGUAGAAAUGAUGGCUAGUAAAUAGCUCCUGCACUGAAAGGAGAAAAUAUUAAGACACGACAAUGACCCUAGCUAUUUUAGACAAAAACCUUACUAGACUAGGUUCACAACGGCACAAAGUAAUGCAAGACUCAGCUAUCUCCUAGCUUACAACCGUAAAACUCGACUUCCACAACUUCCUAUCAAGUGUCAUAUCCUCGAAAAUCUAUGUCUUGCAAGAUCUUGCCUGAUCACUUCUCCCCAAUAAUUAUUAGGCCGCCCUCUACCUCUUCUCGUGCCCUUCACAACCAGACGCUCAAACCUCUUUACAGGAGCAUCUGCACCUUCUCCCGAAUAUUAUCAUUUCUAAUCUCGUCUAUCCUAAUAUGCUCGCAUAUACACCUCAACGUCUUCAUUUCUGUUACUUUUAUCCAUCUCCUUAUUGUUACUAGCUAAUUAUAUCAAAUAACUUGAGGGGAAAAUUUGAAAAUUACUGUUGUAAUUGAUUGAUAGGAUCUGGUGUUGCACCAAGGUGUUGAGAUAAAGCUAAGGAUUAGCAAAAGCAAGUAAGCUUCACCUGAAGAUAAGUAUAAU
rnacentral:lncRNA from 1 species